GCCUAUUUAAAUUUAGGGCUAACCCGUCUCUGUGGCAAAAGAGUGGGAAGAGCUCCGGGUAGAAGUGACAGACCUACCGAACCUGGUGAUAGCUGGUUGCCUGAGAAAUGGAUAGAAGUUCAGCCUCGCACACCCCAAAUCAAAAACAUAACAUCAAGACAAUAAGGGAAAUAUACGAGAGUUAGUUAAAGGGGGUACAGCCCCUCUAACAAAGGAUACAACCUUUACAGGAGGAUAAAGAUCAUAAUAUAUAAAACAUACUGUUUUAGUGGGCCUAAAAGCAGCCAUCUAAAUAGAAAGCGUUAAAGCUCAGACAGAAAAAAGUUUAUUAUACUGAUAAAAAAAUCUUAUUCCCCUAACAAUAUCAGGCUAACCCAUGCCCACAUGGAAGAAAUUAUGCUAAAAUGAGUAACAAGAAGACCUGCUCUUCUCCAAGCACAAGUGUAAACCAGAUCGGACAAACCACUGGAAAUUAACGAACCCAACCCAAGAGAGUAAUGUGAAUAACAAAAAAACCAAGAAAACCCCACAAUUAAACAAUCGUUAACCCCACACUGGAGUGCUAUUUUUAAAGGAAAGACUAAAAGAAAGGGAAGGAACUCGGCAAACACAAGCCUCGCCUGUUUACCAAAAACAUCGCCUCCUGCAAUCAAACUCAGUAUAGGAGGUCCAGCCUGCCCAGUGACUACGGGUUCAACGGCCGCGGUAUUUUGACCGUGCAAAGGUAGCGCAAUCACUUGUCUUUUAAAUAGAGACCUGUAUGAAUGGCUAAACGAGGGCUUAACUGUCUCCCCCUUCAAGUCAGUGAAAUUGAUCUAUCCGUGCAGAAGCGGGUAUAACCAUACAAGACGAGAAGACCCUUUGGAGCUUAAGGUACAAAAUUCAAUCACGUUAAGCAACUCAAUAAAAAGCAAAAACUUAGUGAAAAAUGAAAUUUUACCUUCGGUUGGGGCGACCACGGAGGAAAAACAAGCCUCCGAGUGGAAUGGGCCAAAUCCCUAAAACUAAGAGAAACAUCUCUAAGCCACAGAACAUCUGACCAAAAAUGAUCCGGCUAAUAAGUCGAUCAACGAACCAAGUUACCCUAGGGAUAACAGCGCAAUCCUCUCCCAGAGUCCAUAUCGACGAGGGGGUUUACGACCUCGAUGUUGGAUCAGGACAUCCUAAUGGUGCAGCCGCUAUUAAGGGUUCGUUUGUUCAACGAUUAAAGUCCUACUGAUCUGAGUUCA
rnacentral:rRNA from 1 species